rnacentral:rRNA from 1 species
GGACUACACGGGUUUCUAAUCCUGUUUGCUCCCCUUGCUUUCGCGCCUCAGCGUCAGUAUCAGCCCAGAAAACCGUCUUCACCACCGGUGUUCUUCCACAUAUCUACGCAUUUCACCGCUACACGUGGAAUUCCGUUUUCCCUAACUGAACUCUAGUCAGGAAGUUUCAAAUGCAGCUCCGGAGUUGAGCUCCGGAAUUUCACAUCUGACUUUCCCGACCGCCUGCGCGCCCUUUACGCCCAGUAAUUCCGAUCAAUGCUUGCACCCUCCGUAUUACCGCGGCUGCUGGCAC